AGAAUCAACGCUGGCGGCGUGCCUAACACAUGCAAGUCGCACGAGAAAGCGGGAGCAAUCCUGCGAGUAAAGUGGCGUACGGGUGAGUAACACGUGAAUCAUCUACCUUCGAGUGUGGAAUAACUGAGAGAAAUCUUAGCUAAUACCGCAUAAUACCUACGGGUCAAAGCAGCAAUGCGCUUGAAGAGGAGUUCGCGGCAGAUUAGUUAGUUGGCGGGGUAAUGGCCCACCAAGACGAUGAUCUGUA
rnacentral:rRNA from 1 species